GAUGAACGCUGGCGGCGUGCCUAAUACAUGCAGGUCGAGCGAACAGACGAAGAGCUUGCUCCUCUGACGUUAGCGGCGGACGGGUGAGUAACACGUGGAUAACCUACCUAUAAGACUGGGAUAACUUCGGGAAACCGGAGCUAAUACCGGAUAAUAUAUUGAACCGCAUGGUUCAAUAGUGAAAGACGGUUUUGCUGUCACUUAUAGAUGGAUCCGCGCCGCAUUAGCUAGUUGGUAAGGUAACGGCUUACCAAGGCAACGAUGCGUAGCCGACCUGAGAGGGUGAUCGGCCACACUGGAACUGAGACACGGUCCAGACUCCUACGGGAGGCAGCAGUAGGGAAUCUUCCGCAAUGGGCGAAAGCUUGACGGAGCAACGCCGCGUGAGUGAUGAAGGUCUUCGGAUCGUAAAACUCUGUUAUUAGGGAAGAACAAAUGUGUAAGUAACUAUGCACGUCUUGACGGUACCUAAUCAGAAAGCCACGGCUAACUACGUG
rnacentral:rRNA from 1 species